rnacentral:misc_RNA from 1 species
AAAUUCUCAAACCACAUUGAAUUCUUUCAGUGUGGCUUGGAAGUGGGGGUUUAUUUUUGCAGGCUGGUUUUUACAUAAAAUGAAGUCUGCUCCCCUGAAAUGCAUUAGUGGUAUCUGAGCAGCGGGAACUACUACAGGUGUGAUAACUUAUCUAUGCCCUUGGUAUGCUGCAUAAACGGAUUGUACUGCUUAUAACAAAACUUUAUUAUUUUGUUU